GACGAACGCUGGCGGCGUGCCUAAUACAUGCCAGUAGAACGCUGAAGCUUGGUGCUUGCACCGAGCGGAUGAGUUGCGAACGGGUGAGUAACGCGUAGGUAACCUGCCUGGUAGCGGGGGAUAACUAUUGGAAACGAUAGCUAAUACCGCAUAACAGUAGAUAUCGCAUGAUAGCUACUUGAAAGGUGCAAAUGCACCACUACCAGAUGGACCUGCGUUGUAUUAGCUAGUUGGUGAGGUAACGGCUCACCAAGGCAACGAUACAUAGCCGACCUGAGAGGGUGAUCGGCCACACUGGGACUGAGACACGGCCCAGACUCCUACGGGAGGCAGCAGUAGGGGAUCUUCGGCAAUGGACGGAAGUCUGACCGAGCAACGCCGCGUGAGUGAAGAAGGUUUUCGGAUCGUAAAGCUCUGUUGUAAGAGAAGAACGAGUGUGAGAGUGGAAAGUUCACACUGUGACGGUAUCUUACCAGAAAGGGACGGCUAACUACGUG
rnacentral:rRNA from 1 species